rnacentral:rRNA from 1 species
AUUGAACGCUGGCGGCAUGCCUUACACAUGCAAGUCGAACGGCAGCGCGGGGCAACCUGGCGGCGAGUGGCGAACGGGUGAGUAAUAUAUCGGAACGUACCCUGGAGUGGGGGAGUAACGUAGCGAAGUUACGCUAAUACCGCAUACGAUCUAAGGAUGAAAGUGGGGGAGUCGCAAGACCUCAUGCUCCUGGAGCGGCCGAUAUCUGAUUAGCUAGUUGGUGGGGUAAAGGCCUACCAAGGCAUCGAUCAGUAGCUGGUCUGAGAGGACGACCAGCCACACUGGAACUGAGACACGGUCCAGACUCC